UACGUAGGGUGCAAGCGUUGUCCGGAAUUAUUGGGCGUAAAGAGCUCGUAGGCGGUUUGUCGCGUCUGCUGUGAAAACUCGGGGCUUAACUCCGGGCCUGCAGUGGGUACGGGCAGACUAGAGUGCGGUAGGGGAGACUGGAAUUCUCGGUGUAGCGGUGAAAUGCGUAGAUAUCGAGAGGAACACCUGCGGCGAAGGCGGGUAGCUGGGCCGACACUGACGCUGAGGCGCGAAAGCCAGGGGAGCGAACGGG
rnacentral:rRNA from 1 species